UGGCGGCGUGCUUAACACAUGCAAGUCGAACGGGUUUAUUGGGUGUAGCAAUACAUUCAAUAGAUUAGUGGCGCACGGGUGAGUAACACGUAGGCAACCUACCCUUCAGUGGGGGACAACAGAGGGAAACUUCUGCUAAUACCGCAUACGGCCUUGUACUGGGAUGUACGAGGAGAAAGGAUUUAUUCGCUGAGGGAUGGGCCUGCGGCCUAUCAGGUAGUUGGUGGGGUAAAGGCCUACCAAGCCUGCGACGGGUAGCCGGACUGAGAGGUCGACCGGCCACACUGGAACUGAGACACGGUCCAGACUCCUACGGGAGGCAGCAGUGGGGAAUAUUGCACAAUGGGGGAAACCCUGAUGCAGCGACGCCGCGUGGAGGAUGACGGCCUUCGGGUUGUAAACUCCUUUUGUCAGGGACAAUGGUGAUGGUACCUGACGAAUAAGCCACGGCUAACUCUGUGCCAGCAGCCGCGGUAAGACAGAGGUGGCGAGCGUUGUUCGGAAUUACUGGGCUUAAAGGGCGCGUAGGCGGUGGUGUAAGUCUG
rnacentral:rRNA from 1 species